rnacentral:rRNA from 1 species
AGUGAACGCUGGCGGUAGGCCUAACACAUGCAAGUCGAACGGCAGCACAGUAAGAGCUUGCUCUUACGGGUGGCGAGUGGCGGACGGGUGAGGAAUACAUCGGAAUCUACUUUUUCGUGGGGGAUAAUGUAGGGAAACUUACGCUCAUACCGCAUACGACCUACGGGUGAAAGCAGGGGAUCUUCGGACCUUGCGCGAUUGAAUGAGCCGAUGUCGGAUUAGCUAGUUGGCCGGGUAAAGGCCCACCAAGGCGACGAUCCGUAGCUGGUCUGAGAGGAUGAUCGGCCACACUGGAACUGAGACACGGUCCAGACUCCUACGGGAGGCAGCAGUGGGGAAUAUUGGACAAUGGGCGCAAGCCUGAUCCAGCCAUACCGCGUGGGUGAAGAAGGCCUUCGGGUUGUAAAGCCCUUUUGUUGGGAAAGAAAAGCAGCAGGUUAAUACCCCGCUGUUCUGACGGUACCCAAAGAAUAAGCACCGGCUAACUUCGUG